rnacentral:rRNA from 1 species
CACGUAGGGGGCAAGCGUUGUCCGGAUUUAUUGGGCGUAAAGAGCUCGUAGGCGGCUUUGUCAGUCGGGUGUGAAACCUCCAGGCUCAACCUGGAGCCGCCACCCGAUACUGCAAUGGCUAGAGUCCGGUAGGGGAGCAUGGAACUCCUGGUGUAGCGGUGAAAUGCGCAGAUAUCAGGAAGAACACCAGUGGCGAAGGCGGUGCUCUGGGCCGGAACUGACGCUGAGGAGCGAAAGCUAGGGGAGCGAACGGG